UACGUAGGGGGCAAGCGUUGUCCGGAUUUAUUGGGCGUAAAGAGCGUGUAGGCGGCCAUACAGGUCCGUUGUGAAAACUGGAGGCUUAACCUCCAGACGUCGAUGGAAACCGUAUGGCUAGAGUCCGGAAGAGGAGAGUGGAAUUCCUGGUGUAGCGGUGAAAUGCGUAGAUAUCAGGAGGAACACCUGCGGUGUAGACGGCUUACUGGACCAUAACUGACGCUGAGGCACGAAAGCGUGGGUAGCAAACAGG
rnacentral:rRNA from 1 species